GAUGAACGCUGGCGGCGUGCCUAAUACAUGCAAGUCGAGCGAACGGACGAGAAGCUUGCUUUUCUGAUGUUAGCGGCGGACGGGUGAGUAACACGUGGAUAACCUACCUAUAAGACUGGGAUAACUUCGGGAAACCGGAGCUAAUACCGGAUAAUAUUUUGAACCGCAUGGUUCAAAAGUGAAAGACGGUCUUGCUGUCACUUAUAGAUGGAUCCGCGCUGCAUUAGCUAGUUGGUAAGGUAACGGCUUACCAAGGCAACGAUGCAUAGCCGACCUGAGAGGGUGAUCGGCCACACGGGAACUGAGACACGGUCCAGACUCCGACGGGAGGCAGCAGUAGGGAAUCUUCCGCAAUGGGCGAAAGCCUGACUGAGCAACGCCGCGGGAGUGAUGAAGGUCUGCGGAUCGUAAAACUAUGUUAUUAGGGAAGAACAUAUGUGUAAGUAACUGUGAAAAUCUUGACGGUACCUAAUCAGAAAGCCACGGCUAACUACGG
rnacentral:rRNA from 1 species